AAGGAAAUAACAAGGUAAGUACAAGGAAACAACAACAUAGCAGGGUACUUUACCACAUUGAAAAGGUUGUGGGAUGAGCUAGAUUCUCUAAACUCACAUUUAGGAUGCACAUGUGACUGUGUGUGUGAAGGAAAGAAGACGCAAGCCAAAUUUAUGGAAUAUCAAAGGAAUAUCCAAUUCCUUAUGGAACUUAAUGAUACAUAUGGCCAGGUAAGAGGGAACAUACUGAUGAUGAACCCCCUUCCAACCAUGAAUGUUGCUUAUUCUUUACUAUUAUAGGAUGAAGGUAAAAAGGAAUGAUACAUCAACCCAAUGCACCCUACUGAUGCUCCAUCUUUCAUGGUAGGUACACAAACAAGAAGUCCACAGAAGUACAACAAUCAAACUUAAAAGACUUGGAAUGCAUCACAAAAAUCUGGAAACACUCAACAAAGUUCAAAGCUAGGAAAACCAAAUAUAAUCCAAAUAUGAGCUGCAACCAUUGUAUGAGAACAGGACAUCUCAGGGCAAACUGCUACAAAUUAAUAGGGUUCCCAGAUGACUUCCAGUUCACCAAAUCAAAUGUGUAUCAGGGAGAAGCUAAGGCUAAUGCAGUAGUUGGAGCUAAGAAAGAUGAUUGUACCAAUAAUCCUUCUAGUGAAAGAUCAAUGGGCACUUACAGUCAGCACUUCAGCAAAGAACAACUCUUAGAGCUAGUUAACCUAAUCAAACAGGUGCACAUUGGACAUACAUGAAAUAGAGGGAUAGAGAUUAAUGCAAAUGUUGUGGCUGGUCCCUUUAACGAGGAGAGGACAAGUUUUUGGUGAGAUAAGAGAUGGACUAUACCUGCUGCAACCAACCAAUUUAGAUUCUAGUAGUUUCUUAGGUCAAAAUGUAGUUUCUAUUCCAAAAGAAUGUGAUUCCAGUUGUGUUCUAAUAUUGUUUCUUUUCAAAAUUCUAUGUCAGUUAAUUUAGUUUCUACUGUACUUUAAUGGCAUAUCAGGUUGAGACAUUUGCCAUUUUCAAUAAUGAGAAAUCUUAGUUUCAUUCAAUUUC